rnacentral:rRNA from 1 species
GGUGAACGCUGGCGGCAGGCCUAACACAUGCAAGUCGAGCGGCAGCGCGGGGGCAACCCUGGCGGCGAGCGGCGGACGGGUGAGGAAUUCGUCGGAAUCUGCCUUUUUGUGGGGGAUAACGUAGGGAAACUUACGCUAAUACCGCAUACGUCCUACGGGAGAAAGUGGGGGACCGCAAGGCCUCACGCAGAAAGAUGAGCCGACGACCGAUUAGCUAGUUGGUGGGGUAAAGGCCCACCAAGGCGACGAUCGGUAGCUGGUCUGAGAGGAUGAUCAGCCACACUGGGACUGAGACACGGCCCAGACUCCUACGGGAGGCAGCAGUGGGGAAUAUUGGACAAUGGGCGCAAGCCUGAUCCAGCCAUGCCGCGUGUGUGAAGAAGGCCUUCGGGUUGUAAAGCACUUUUGUCCGGAAAGAAAUCCCUGGAGCUAAUACCUUCGGGGGAUGACGGUACCGGAAGAAUAAGCACCGGCUAACUUCGUG